GAGUUUGAUCCUGGCUCAGAAUCAACGCUGGCGGCGCGCUUAACACAUGCAAGUCGCACGAGAAAGUGGAGCAAUCCAUGAGUACAGUGGCGUACGGGUGAGUAACACGUGGAUGAUCUACCUCUUAGUGGGGAAUAACCCUGGGAAACCGGGGCUAAUACCGCAUAAGCUCGAGAGAGGAAAGCAGCAAUGCGCUGAGAGAGGAGUCCGCGGCCGAUUAGCUAGUUGGCAGGGUAAGAGCCUACCAAGGCAAAGAUCGGUAGCCGGCCUGAGAGGGCACACGGCCACACUGGCACUGAAACACGGGCCAGACUCCUACGGGAGGCAGCAGUGGGGAAUCUUGCACAAUGGGGGAAACCCUGAUGCAGCGACGCCGCGUGAGCGAUGAAGCCCUUCGGGGUGUAAAGCUCUUUCGGCAGGGAAGAUGAUGACGGUACCUGCAGAAGCAGCUGCGGCUAACUACGUGCCAGCAGCCGCGGUAAUACGUAGGCAGCGAGCGUUGUUCGGAGUUACUGGGCGUAAAGGGUGUGUAGGCGGUUGUUUAAGUUUGGUGUGAAAUCUCCCGGCUCAACUGGGAGGGUGCGCCGAAUACUGAAUGACUCGAGUGCGGGAGAGGAAAGUGGAAUUCCUGGUGUAGCGGUGAAAUGCGUAGAUAUCAGGAGGAACACCGGUAGUGUAGACGGCUUUCUGGACCGUAACUGACGCUGAGACACGAAAGCGUGGGUAGCAAACAGGAUUAGAUACCCUGGUAGUCCACGCCCUAAACGAUGCAUAUUUGGUGUGGGCAGUUCAUUCUGUCCGUGCCGGG
rnacentral:rRNA from 1 species